ensembl:ribozyme RNaseP_nuc Nuclear RNase P
GUGGGGAAAAGUUCACUGUAGAUGUCACGAGCAGCGUAUUCGUCACUCGACCAAUCACCUUUGAGAAGGUUUGAGACAAGAACCAAUCGCUGUCCUCACAAGACGUCAUCUGAGCAGAUGAGCGAGAACGGAAUUGUGAACUGACUUGCGAACUAAUUGAAAGUAUAUUUUGAGUCCUACUAACAUUACUACAAU